GCAGCUAGCUAACUAAUACAGGUCUGCCUCCUUGUGCGUCUGGAUGACGCUGUUGGCGGUCGGGUACGCGACGCAGGUGAGCACGUAGCCGGCGCCGACCUGGGCGUCGUCGAGGAACGACUGGUCCGACUGGUCGACGCCGCCCUCGACGACCUUGCCGGCGCAGGUGGAGCACGCGCCGGCGCGGCACGAGUAGGGCAGGUCGACGCCGGCUUCCUCGGCCGCGUCCAGGAUGUAGGUGUCCUCCGGCACCUUGAUCACGCUCUCCUGCCCCUCCGGCCCGAUGAGCUUCACCGUGUAGACGGCGGCGGCGGCGCGGAUCAAGUCGCCGCGGGCUCUUGACGAGCUCAGGUGGAGCGUCGUUCGCCUCGUGCCGUCGUUCGGCGAACGCGUCGUCGGCAGGCGCAGGGUGUCGCGUGGCUUGGCGCUGAGGUUGCAGAGAAUUGGUGUGGUGACGGUAGUUGUUGCCAUCUCUCGAAGUCUGGGUAUUCGAGACCUGAAAAAUAAUGGUGAUCAGAAGCAAGAGAGGAGAUGCUAUA
rnacentral:sRNA from 1 species